CCUACGGGGGGCUGCAGUGAGGAAUAUUGGGCAAUGCCCGCAAGGGUGACCCAGCAACGCCGCGUGGAGGAUGAAGGCCGUAAGGUUGUAAACUCCUGUUAGAGGAGAAGAAUAGUACCGAUUGGAUCGGUAUUUGACUGUACCCUCAGAGAAAGCCCCGGCUAACUACGUGCCAGCAGCCGCGGUAAUACGUAGGGGGCAAGCGUUGCUCGGAUUUACUGGGUGGCAGGGGCGAGCACGCGGCAGAGGAGAAAUCCUACAGCUUAACGGUAGAACUGCCUGUGAGACUGUUAUUCUUGAGUUCGGGAGAGAGAGACGGAAUUCCAGGUGUAGUGGUGAAAUACGUAGAUAUCUGGAAGAACACCAGUUGCGAAGGCGGUCUCUUGGUCCGAUACUGACGCUGAGGCGCGAAAGCGUGGGGAGCAAACAGGAUUAGAUACCCUGGUAGUC
rnacentral:rRNA from 1 species